GGCAAUUUUUUCCUAGUAUGAAAUAUUGAAAAUACGGGUUUCAUGUAUAACACAAAGUUCCAGCAUGGGUUGUAGAUCUGGAAGCCAUCUGUUAUGUGCAUGAGGAUAAGCUCUUCCAGGAGUGAUGUGAGGUUUAAAAUAGGUAAACAUUGAACCUUGGAGAAAAAUGAUAUCUGGGACGAGCAGAGGAUAAAAUUCCUUCAAAGGAGAUGGAGAAGUUUGGAAGGAGCAUCACGCAGAAUCCAAGAAAGGCAAAAGUACCAAAGAGCUGAGUGCUGAACAAAGCAUACUGCCACACCAUGUUAGAGAAGAUAGGAUGGAAAUGACCAGUGAAUUCCUAACAAAGUAGGUACCUUAGUUAAAGCAGUUUUGUUUAUGCUGUGGGAGAGAAAAUAAAUAUAGAACUAGAACAGACCUUAGAAAUUACAACCUUCUUUCCUCCCUCCCUUCUUCUCUUCUGGUUCCUUCCUUCCUUCCUUCCUUCCUCCUUUCUUUCUUUACUCUUUUUUAAAUUUCAAUUUUAAGUGAAAGCUAUUUCAAUAUAUUUUAAAUUGAGAGCAAAAAAUGGAGUGUGAAAAUAGAGGAAAUAGAGAAAAGACUGGGCAAGAUGGGGCAUUGCAUUCUCUAAGAUGGAAAGUAGGGAGAAAAGAAUGGUGACUUGUGGAUGGAAGUAAGUUCUCUAGGUGAGGAGAUUCAUGUCUGGUAGCCUCUCCAUUCUGUGAAGCUGUCUACUGUGUUGACAUGACUGUGAACAUGGGAUGAAAGCUAACAAAAACAUGGUAAAUGAAGGAAAUAGCACUGCAGGAAAUUAAGAAGGGAGAUAAUUAUGCCCAAGGAAACAACAGAAAGAGUUCGAUAACCUCUACCUGUAGUAUUUUAUUAUAAAAAUGAAAAAAAAAUCAAUAAUAUAAAUUCUGAAAAAUACACGUGAUUUACGCAAUAACUUCCAUAAUGUCCUAUGGAACUUUGUGUCAGACAUUGAGCCCUGAAAUGAUCGAAAGACUCCAUUUCCUCCAAUAAAAAGACUGAGUUCUGCCUUAUUAAAACUAAAGAAACCUUAAACCUCAAUAGAUUUCAUAUAUUUGAAACAUUAGAAUUUAAAACUAACAAAAGUCAAUAGAGAGAGGAAAAAGUCAAAUAAGAUUGUCUAGAAAGUAAAAUUUCUUGGCCACAGGGGUUUUAAAUUUAAUUACUCUUAUUACCUCUGUACUAACUUAAAAUGUCCAGGGGUUAAGCUUUAGUGUGUCCCCAAAUGCCAAGGUCUUUGCCUAUGUCUUGACUGCCUUAAUUAAAAGAGAUUUUUUAAAAAUCAUCUUGAGAAUGGUUUUUCUUAGCUCUUUCUUGAUUUAUUAUUCCCCUAACAAUGUCAACCCAUUUAAGUAGAAAUAACACAAAGUAGCUUCCUUAACUUCAAUAACCUGGGAAAAGGUUUACAGGAGUAUGGAAUCAUCAAAUUAUCCUUCCAUCCACGUCUGUAUUAAGGACAUGUAAGAACUUUUUAGAACAAAGUUUGGCAGCCAGCAUAUACUCAAUUAAUAUUCCCUAUUUAUAAAAUAUGAAAUUCAGUGAAAUACUAUGUGUAUGUGUCUCUCCCAAAAUGAAUCUGAAACUUGGCACGCUGGCUAAAAAUGCUUUGAAACAUCUCUCAAAUGAACAAUUUUUAGAUAUUACAUUUUAGAAAUGAAAUAACAGUAUCAGAUAAUUGGCAGCAAAGUCAUUUUCCCAAGUACCGAUGCCAAGCACAUGGCAGACAUCCAUUAUGGGUUGAUGUAGAUCAAAAGGGGCUGAGACACCAUCUCAUGCUUAUAGAAUUUCAGAAUUAGAGACAUUUGGAAGGGAAAAGUUAGCAUCAUUUGCCACGUGAAAGCCAAGCCAUGUGCACUGAGCUGCAUUUCCUCACUAGGCAGGACCCAUUCCUUCCAUCCUUAUUUACCACCCACUCUGGGUUUCUUAUAAUAGCCAGUGAAUCCAGAAUUAGUCAAAACUAAAUGCCUCACUCCAGUUACAACAAAGGCUGACUUAGGGUCUUCCUGUUGGUGAUAGGUCUCCUCUCUAUGUGCCUGAUAAGCCAGAAUCUUUCCCCCUCUCCAGAUAAGCGUGCAUGAGUGAACCAUCUAAAAGUACUUAGAAAAAAAAAAAAACCUCUAAUACUUCUAGAGAAGGGAAAAGUCAAACACCGCUCUCCUUUCCUGGACCCCCACCCAAGGGCCUAAUUUUCUUCUAUUAGACCACAUUCUCUGGUCGUUCUUUCACAUCAGGCUCUUUAACAAAAUAAAUUUAUGAAUUGAUGCAUAGUUUUAAAAUGUGCUUGAAUACUUCCAGGACUUUGAAAGACCUCCUGAAAUAAUGUAGUCAGACUCGCUGGAACACAUAAUCCAUACACGCAUGAUGAAGAAAUGACUUGGAGCUAACAGUAGGCUUUGGAGGGUAGAAGGAGGAAAAGGGCAAUUGACUUGUCAUGUUAAACUCCGUGUAACACGGAUGAAGUGGAGAUUUUAAACUGCAAUGUUAUUGUAAAUUUUCCAGUAAUCUAGAUUUCUGAAUUGCAAAUACUGGAAACCAGUUCUGCUUUCCUGCUUCACACUGACAGCGACACUUUGCUUACCCACAUCUGAGAUCGUGUGGCUUUCGAUUCAUUCUGUUGUUGAUGCCUCCUCUUCUGUUUUCUCAAAAUGUAAAUAUUUGUUCUGUCUGCAUCCUAAUUGCUAGUCUUGGUGUCUUAUUGUGUAUGAGGGCUGUGGUAACUCAGAUGCCUCAGGGUCUCUUGCUAUGUGCUGGGAUUUCAUGUCUUAGGACAUUAGCUUGGCAUAGUAGUCAGCUACCCUGUUCCAUGCCCCUGACUAAACUGCACUUAUGUCUCUAAUUGAAAGCCAAAAUUAUUUGAGUCCUCUCUACAGAGAGGAAACCCAGAACUAUUAUUCUGUACACACACCAAACCACAGGAGCCUGGGUGAGGGUCUGUAAUGACAGGGCCUCCUACACAGCACAUUUGCAAGCUUUCUACUAAUUACCUUAAUUUUCUUUGUCUAGACUAACUUAUUGCAUUGAAAAGCUCCUUUUCUAAAGGAGUGGGGGUGGGAGUGAAAGGGACAUCGUUAGUCCUUCAAUUCCUGCCAAGUAAAGAGGAGAGAAAGACAUGAAUAGAACCAAGAAAACAAAUAGAACAGAACCAGAAGAUUUGCCCUUGAAUGGACUGUUUCCUAGAGCACAUGCUGAUUUAAAAUUGAUCUGGGAGUCUGUGAUCUAGGAAGACUGGAAUCACUACAUCAGAAAACACAUUAAACGAUAUAUAAACCCAAAGAAGAAAGGUGUUUCAUAAGAGAAAACAGUCACUAAGCAGGAAAAUGACACUCUGAUGAGUGUCAAUUCCUACAUCACCAGCAAUAAUGAAAAUUCUGUUUUGGUCUGCUUUCUUGACAUUUUCCCAGUUUGUCUUUUCAGACUGAAAGUAAAUGGGUUUGUGUGGAAUAACCUGGCUUCUCUUUGGCUCAUUCUUGUGGUGAACACUAAGAGAAAUUUAAUGUCUCCGCUAUAAGCCAUUUUGAAAACUUUUUUUGUAGAUACAGGGGUUGGAUCAGCUUAAGUAACUCGGGCUGCAUUUUCACCAUCCUUAAAAGCUAGAGAUGAAAACAAAUAUUGAUAUUUACAGAUUGUAUGGCUUUAAGGCUAGGAAGAAGAGCACGAGAGGUGCUCAUAGAUUGCCACAGUGAACUGAAAGGCCAAAGGGCAAGGCUGGCUCUUCCUGGGCUGCAGCUGCCCCUUUGGUUGUCAACAGGCCAAGGCCAUGGGAACAUUAGUCCUGGCUGGGAGCCCUAGAAACUCCUUUCCUGUGAGACAUUCUCUUUAGCCAAAUUCUUAAGGCCUGCUGGUUAACUGACUUCCCACCUCUCCUCUGUUGGGAACAUUACAUGUAUUUCCAUUUACAAAAGCAAAGACUUAUUGGUUUCCUAGGAUAUGAUGAUGGGUUUCAUUUUACUGCUAUCUUGUGUCUCCAUCAUGUUUCCCUUGAUUGAUCUACUUUUGAGUUAGGUUAAAUUAACUCUCAGUGCGGGGUGCCUGGGUGGCGCAGUCGGUUAAGCGUCCGACUUCAGCCAGGUCACGAUCUCGCAGCCCGUGAGUUCGAGCCCCGCGUCGGGCUCUGGGCUGAUGGCUCAGAGCCUGGAGCCUGUUUCCGAUUCUGUGUCUCCCUCUCUCUCUGCCCCUCCCCCGUUCAUGCUCUGUCUCUCUCUGUCCCAAAAAUAAAUAAACGUUAAAAAAAAAUUAACUCUCAGUGGACCAAAAAUUCAGUUUUUAUUUUUGUUUUCAGAGGUUUGUUUUUGCAUCUUCAUAAAUUGUGCAUGAUAAAGAUAUUUUUCUGGAUUAAAUAUACUGAUAAAUCCUCAAACUAGGUGUAAAUUGAAGAACCGAUGCUGUGUUUUUCCUAGCAGAACAAGGAAAUAGCUUGAGUUUCUCUUUCUAAGUCUGAGGGCACCAUUGUUGUGAAGGUCCCAGAUGUGUCUUGGGUCAUUGGCUCUAGGAUAGGCGUAGGUAAUUUGGGCUGGGCAGCUACACACUUGGAAGUGAACGGUGCUGCUGCGGGCUUUGUCACUCAUUUAUCCAGAGUAAUUUAUUACAGACUAAUUUAUUACAUUUAUUAUAGAGUAAUCUCUGUGUCCCAUUUCUAGGAGUGAUAAUUAGAUAUUGAUUAGAUUGGUGGUUUUUAGCCAGACGUGACUUUGCUCCCCAGGGGAUGUCUGUCAAUGUUUGGAGUCAUUUUUGGUUGUCACUACUGCGGAGUGGAGUGUUACUGGAAUCUAGAAGGAUAGGCUCCAGGGAUAAUGCUAAACAUCCUACGGUGUCAGGACCAUCCUCCACAAGAAAUAAUUAUCUUGUCCCUGAUGUCAAUAGUAUCAAGAAAUUUAAUUCAUGAGAAAUCAUGAAUUAAACUGACAAUUUGCUAUUUUCUCACAUCUUUCCAGAUUGACAAACCUUUCCAAUUGACAAAUUGACAAUUUGCUGCUCUCUCACAUCUUUCCAGAUGCGAUGGAAUUUAGAGCUAUCUCUCGUCACUCUAUGGCAACUGAUUCAGCAUUUUACUUUCUUAGGAGCUGAUCCGUUUUUUCUAUAAUGCUGGAUAACUCUUUGGAUUUUUUCACUCAGUUUUAAUGGAACUGGAAUCAUAAGAAGCUUUGGCGUAAGAAAUUAACACCAAGCUAAUCUGCUAUAAAACUUUGCUAAUGCUUCUGAUUUGGGAUAAAGGUGUCAUAUUUUUUUAUGCCUGGUAGAUUUUUAUCUAGAUUUUUUCCUAGUAAAUUAGAGGUUCUUAUAAAAUUAUUCACCACCAACUGGAAGAAAAAGUUCCUUCCAUUUAUACAAAUUCUAUAAAAUCCCACAAAAAAAUCACCUUCUUUUUGAAGCCUCCUACUUUCUUUCCAGCACAUUCUCAAGAUCUCAUUAAAACAUCAAUUCCUCUGUGAAGCAUCCCUAAAUGUCCUAGGAUGAAUUUUCUAGAUCACUAUAUCAUGUUUAUUUGUCUGUAAUUUUAUCCCCCCAUCAGAUUAUGAAUUACCUAAGGUUGGGGCCAAGCUUGCUUCACGUUAGGAUGACUCUACAACCCAGCAGAGUAAACAGAGAAAGUGCUCAGUAAAAUGUGUCAGAUAAUUAGUCUAGAAAUUACCACAAAUAUUUCAUGUUAGUUUUAGGAACAGAGUACACCUUUAAAAAAUAUUUGACAUAAACACAAAAUAUGUCAUCAAAGGUAACUUUGAUUACAUAGCUAUAAUAGUAAACCUACCUUGACAUUGAUCUUUCCUAGCAAUAAAUAAUUACAUUUUAAAGGGGUUGAUACAUAGGCUAGCACUAUUUCUGAAAUUUGACAUUUUAAGAGAAAAACUAUAUAUGAGACUAUUAUAAUUUUAAAAGCAUAUUAUAUCCUUUGCUAUGGAACCAAGAAUAGAACUAAGGUUCAUAUAUUCCAAAUGCCCCAACUUUGACUUGAAAAAUUCUUUGUAUCACUCACAGCUAUGUGGUUUCUAUUAUUAUUAGAAAAAUGAUUCCACUCCCAUGUUUUUAAGCAUUUUCAAGUUCAUCUAUGCCCUUUCACACAUCUCUUUUAUUUUAUGAUCUUUGUAGUUUGAAAUAUGUGAUUUUGGCAUACUGAAUGCUAUACUCUUUUCCUUUUCUUAUCUUAAUUGCUAAUGUUGUUUUAUGUAUGAUUUGUGUAUGUGUUGUAAAGAACUAAACUAUCAGACCACUCUAAAUCUUCUCAUCCCUCUGGCCCACGAAAAGUUUUACAAUUCUCAAAAUUCAAGACUUCACAUUACCCACACCAAUUCAUUUCAUAGACAAAAUUAGAUUGAAUAUUACAGAUCACUAAAAUAUAAUACAAUCAAAAGACAGUUUUGCAUAAAACUAUACAAAAAAAAAACAAUGACAGUUGCUUAAUUAACCAAGUAAUACUUAUUAAUUAGUUAUCACUUAAGUCAAAAUAUAUGUUAUUGUUUAUUUUUAAGAUUUUAUUUUUAAGUAAUCUCUAUGCCCAACAUGGAGCUUGAACUCACAACCCUGAGAUCACGAGUUGCAUGUCCUAUAGGGGCGCCUGGGUGGCUCAGUCGGUUAAGCGUCCGACUUCGGCUCAGUUCAUGAUCUUACGGUUCCUGGGUUCGAGCCCCACAUUGGACUGUGCUGACAGCUCAGCGCCUGGAGUCUGUUUCAGAUUCUGUAUCUCCCUCUCUCUCUGCCCCUUCCCAACUCGCGCUCUUUCUCCCUCUGUCUCAAAAAUAAAAUAAAUAUUAAAAAAAAAAAUUAAGAGUUGCAUGCCCUACUGACUGAGCCAGCCAGGUAGUGCCCCAAUAAUAAUGUUUAAAACAAAACUAACUAAUUAACUACUCCCAACUUAUCCCCAUCUCUUCACAGUUGUUUCCAAUUUCUCUAGGAAGAAUCUGUCACUUCAUAAUUUGUCCACUUUAUGUAUGUCUCACAAAACCGCUCACUGCCAGAGCCAAAAGGUAGGGACAUGUGCAUGUGUCUCAUCACAUUUAUCUUGCCCUCCCACAGUACCUAUCACAGAGUUCUGCACAUAACUCACUAAAUUCAGUGGAGGUAUGCACUACAGAGAAGCUUGCAAACAAUACUCCUUGCAUCUGUGCUUCAAAGGUAGGCUUCUCAGAAAUUAGUAAAAUGUACUGCAAUGUGUUGGCACUGUCCAUGGUAUCUUUUGGAAAUGAGAGAUAAAAUAAGAUUUGUAUUUAAUUGAAAGAAGUAGUUGUCAGCUCAUAAAUAUUAAUCACCUGCCUUGUCUGCUUAAUAUUUUAAAGUACCAUUUUAGAUGCUGGCAACACAAAGAAGUAACUUGUCCUUUGUGGGUUUAUAAUAAAUACAAUUAGGAAAGUAAAAUGCACACACACAAUGUCAAAAAAUGCAUAGCAACAUAGGUUAUCAUGUAGAAAAUGCCAAUGGAAGGAAGGAAAUAGUGACACCAGAGUUCACAAGAAAGAAGACACUGAACAGUAAGGUCCCUGUAGAUGCCCUAAUGAAGGAGGUGAAAAUUGGCCUGACCUUAAAAGGAAGAAAGAGAUUUAAAGGGGAGGGGAUUGGGGCACCUGGGUGGCUCAGUGAGUUGAACAUCCUACCUCGGCUCAGGCCAUGAUCUCAUGGUCUGUGAGUUCGAGCCCCGUGUCGGGCACUGUGCUGACAACUCAGAGCCUGGAGCCUGCUUCAGAUUCUGUGUCUCCCUCUCUCUCUGCCCCUCCCCCCUCAUGCUCUGUCUCUCUCUCUCUCUCUCUGCCAAAAAUAGAUAAACAUUAAAAAAAAUUUUUUAGGUAAAAUAUAAAGGGCAGGGACUGAUGAAAGGUAUUCUUGGCAAAAAAAUGUGAAGAAAUGCCUUGGAAGCUGGAAUGCAUUUAGCAUGGUUACAAAGGAGAGAUGGGAGAGGAGUAUUUUUAUGUGAAAGAAGGUUAGGAAGGUGUCUCUAAGAAGACAGAGUGGUGCAUUAGACUAAGCAUGUCAGAUACCAAAGAAAUUUAGAUUGGUCUUGAUAACUGAAAAGAUCUUUAACAAAGUAGUCAAUGAAUUAAGAGUUGUUUUUGGAGGAUUAACAUGGCACUUAAAGGAAAAUUCUGGGAACAGGAAGUCUUUGGGAGAAAAUUAUAAUCAUCUACUUAUUAUAUUAAAAAAACCAAGAAGUCAGGUUAUGACACCUUAAAUGCUGACUGACAAGUUAUUGAAUAAAUGAGUACAUAGAUUUGAGAAUCACAAAUAUGUUAUGUGAUAGGAGAAAGAGAAGGGACUGUUAAGUUACUGUAAAGAAAGACAAUAAGAUUUAGUGAUAAACAUUUGCUUUUUUAAAAAGGGAAGAUUUUAGAUGGAUUUUUUUAUGUUUAUAUAAAAAAACAUAGAAAUAGGAUUUAGGUUAUUUAAUCUCAUAAAAUAUCUAAGACUUUCUUUUGAAACUUCCAAAUCUUUCCCAAUUGCUCAGAUUUAAUUUCUCCAUCCUAGUCAUUAGAACUUUGUAAGCAGUUCUCUUAAAGCUCUCAUACUAUGGUCUAUAUUGUAUUAUUUUAGUACAAGACUCAAAAGCUUUGAGUUUGGGUUGAUAAGAAAAUAGUGUUUCCAAUAACUUAUAAAGAAUAACUAGUUUUGCCAAAAAAAAAAUACAUGAGUCUAGUUUAAGAUAUUGAGAGUUUGAAGUAAUUGUAGGACUUUUAGUAAGGGGUGUCUAAUCGAUAGGCAAAGAUAAAGAGUUCAAAAUUGAGGAUUUGACAAAAGUGUCCCUUUGAUCCAUGAAAAUAUUCAGUUGAGAUUCCUGAGAGAAAAGGAAAAAGGUUAUACAAAAUGAAUGUCCAUGUUCAGGGAGGGAAUGAAGAAAAAUGAAGCCAGUGAAUUUCCUUUAAAAGAAAAUUUCUAAAGUAAAAUAAGAACUAGGCCCAUGUGGAAUCACAGAAACUAAAGGAGGAAAGGAAUUUUGGAAGGAGAUAAGAGUAAUCCAGGAGAAUAAUGACUGAAAGAAAGAUCUUUGGUUUUGGUAUUUAAAAGGUCACUGUUAACUGUUGAAAAAAAAGAAGACCCAGUCCAAGUAGCAACCAAAGUCAGAUCAGACUUAAGAAGUAAAGCAAGAAGUAGAGAUAGAAGAUGGAAGGAGCUUGAAGGUGAUAUGUUAAUUACUGAGUCAAAUUUAGAAAGAGAUAAGUCACCAUAGCGUUAAAAAAGAAGUUAGGGUGUGCCUAGGUGUUAGGAGAUCUGAGCAGAUUUACAAGGUAAAGAAUCCAUAAGAAGUAAAAGAUUAAAGAUGGAACAGGAAAUACUGUGCAUCAGAGCAGCAGAAAGUUCAAGAGGAUAUGGGAAUUUAUAGUACAGAAUGACUAGAGGGGGACUCGUCUUGUAAAAGAGGAGAUGCUGCUCUUUCUCUGAGAUAAGAUGGUCCAGCAAGCUAUGAAUAUGUGCUUUGAGCCUGUGAAAAAGAUGUGGCUCUGAGUUGUGCAGAGGUGGCAAGGAAUAAAAAGAAAGGUAGAGUUCCAUUUAUGGAAAGAAGUUAGCUCUUGAGAAGGAUAGAACUGUGAGAAAAGACUCUGGAGGCAAGAUAAAACAGGAUUAGGGGCAAAUUUAAACCAUGAAGACCUUAUAAUGAGCUUAUAAAUGAGUAAGUUUUAAACUCAUGGCACAAUUUUUUGCUUUCUCCAGCAAUGCUCAGAAGACUGAGUGAAUGUGGAUGUGACUCAGGAUGUGGGGGGCAGCAUAAUUAAAGGCCCCAGUGAGAUUUGGUGUGGGGGGUUGGGGAGUAAGAGGAAAUGGAAUAAGGCCAAAAAUGGCAUUAACUCAAAAGCUAGAAAGGAUUGCUUUCUGUUAAAAUGAAAGAUGAAAAUAGAAUUCUUUUAAACAUUGUCAACACCCAGUUUCUAAUCUUUAAUUUUCUAGCUUUAUAAUGGUAUUUCCUUUUUGGUCAGUCUGAAAAGAUUUUAAUGAUACUUUUGUUAUAUGCUAAUUAAAAUGGUUUUCAUUGCAAAUUGCAAUGUUUUGAUUGAUCAAAAGCAGAUAUUGUGCUGACGUAUGCAAUAAAUGGGCAUUUUCAAACAUUCCCAGACUAUAUUCUUUAAAUUAGGUCUUUCAUAUAUCUGGACAUAUUGCAAAUAGUAUGACAAGACCAUGAAGAUCAAUUAGAAUGGAAACUUAGAAUUUAAAAUACUGAUUUUGAAAAAAAUAAUCUUCCAUGGCCUAAAGAACCUACUAAAAGUGUUCUAUAAUGAGCUAAAUAUUGCAAAAUGUUCUUCCAUUUGAUUUAUUCUGUUGUAUUCUGAAUUGGGCUGGUUUCUCAUCUUCCCCAUGCUUUCAGUGGAGCUGAUCCAAGCACAGAGUCUUCUUUAACAUUGGAAGGGACUUUGCAUUUGGAUCUCAUCCACAAGGAUUCAAAGCUAGAGGAACACUGGUUCUUUGAAAUGAAAUGACUGUGGGUCUUAAGUCCCUGACAUUUGAAAAAAAAUCUGGUUGAUUCAUGUUGAGAUCUGAGUUCAGUGACGAAUACAUAUUUUGAGUAUUAGGGCCUCCUUGUCAUUAAACAUUUUUUUUUUAAAUGAACAGUUGAAUGAGGUGCAAAGUUUAAGCACAAAUAAGAAUGAAAAAAACACAUAGAAAUCAGAUGUGUGUUCUCUUUCUUUUUCCCUCCUUGAAUGCUGAGUUCAGACUAGUUGAGGCUAUUGAAGACAAAUCUUUGUUGAAUUAAUGGAGACAGGAGGAAGAAUCAUUUAGAAAAUCAGAGGUUCUUAGAGCCAGAAAGGAUCCUACAGAUUAUGUCACCAUUCCUUAUGAAUUUUGUAUAUCAGGAAAACUGUGACUUCAAAAACAACAUGAUAUGUCUAGGUUUACACACCUAUUUACUGAAUAAUCCAGGACAAUCCACCAGAACUGUCAGUUUAGUUAGCUAACUUUCCAUUGCAUCAUGCUGCCUCUUAGAAGUUUCUCUUAACCCAAACAAUUUAUUAAUUGGAUAACUUUCCAUAGAGAGUAUAGAUUUUUCUUGUAGCAAUAGCAUUAGGAUUCUAGGGUAAUUUAUUUCUCUCCCUAUAGGAAUCAGCUACAUUUAAAGUAUUCAACUAAAAUAAUUUCUAAUAGUUGUCUUUGAAAGUGAUUCCAGUUUUUCGUAGUCUUCAUAGUUUUAAAAGAGGUUUUUAUGUUUUUAGAGAAGUUUUAGGUUGGCAAAAUUUUUGAGAGGAAGGUAGAAAGAUUUUCCAUAUGCCACCUGUCCCCACACACUCAUAGCCUCUCCCAUUAUUAACAUCACUCACCAGAAUGGUACCUUUUUUUUUAGCUAAAGAUGAACCAACAUGAACAUAUCAUAAUCACCCAAAGUCCAUAGUUUACCAUAAGGUUCACUCUUGGUGAGGUAAAUCAUGUGGGUUUGGAGAAAUGUAUAAUGAUGUGUCUCAUUAUUAUAUCAUACAGAGUAUUUUCAGGGCCCUAAAAAUCCUCUGUGUUCUGCCUGUUUAUCCCCCCACCCCCACCCCUUGUUGGCAACCACUGAUCUUUUUAUUGUCUUCAUGGCUUUGUGUUUUUCAGAAUGUCAUAUAGUUGUAACCACAUAGUAUGUAGCUUUUUAGUUUGGCUUUUAUCACUUCAUAAUGUGCAUUAAGGUUCCUCUAUGUCUUUUAAUGGUCUGUUAGUUCAUUUCUUUCCAGUGCUGAAAAAUACUCUAUUGUUUAGAUAUAUCACAGUUUAUUUAUCCACUAAUCUAUUAAAUGACAUCUUAAUUGCUCCCAAGUUUUGGCAAUUAAGAAUAAAGCUACUAUAAACAUCCUUACUCAGGUUUUUGUAUAGGUAUAACCUAUAACCUUUUGUAUAGGUAUUUAUUUGGGUAAAUACCAAGGAGUAUGAUUGCUGGAUCAUAAGGUAACAGUAUGUUAAGUUUUGUAAGAAACUGCUAAACUUGUUUCCAAGGUGGCUGUGCCAUGUUGCACUCCCACCAGCAGUGAAUGAGCAUUCCUGUUGCUCCACAUCCUCUCCAGCAUUUGGUGUCAUCGGUGCUCUGGGUUGUGGCCAUUCUUAUAGGUGUGUGGUAUCUUAUCAUUGUUUUAAUUUGCAUUUCCUUGAUGAUAUAUCAUGUGGAGCAUCUUUUCAUAUGCUUAUUUGCCAUUUGUAUGUCUUCUUUGGCAGUAGGCUUUAUUUAAAAAAAAAAAUGUAUCUGUACAUAGGAAAACAGUUUUUGGUGAAGCAUAAAGAGUCCCAGGACAGGCAUCAGUAGAUUUGGUCUUGUCAUGGAUCUGCUGUCUACAAGCUGUGUGAUGCAAGAUCCAGCCUUCUUGAGCUCAUGUUCAUUGGCU